rnacentral:rRNA from 1 species
AUUGAACGCUGGCGGCAGGCCUAACACAUGCAAGUCGAGCGGAUGAAGGGAGUUUGCUCCUGGAUUCAGCGGCGGACGGGUGAGUAAUGCCCAGGAAUCUGCCUGGUAGUGGGGGAUAACGUCCGGAAACGGGCGCUAAUACCGCAUACGUCCUGAGGGAGAAAGUGGGGGAUCUUCGGACCUCACGCUAUCAGAUGAGCCUAGGUCGGAUUAGCUAGUUGGUGGGGUAAAGGCCUACCAAGGCGACGAUCCGUAACUGGUCUGAGAGGAUGAUCAGUCACACUGGAACUGAGACACGGUCCAGACUCCUACGGGAGGCAGCAGUGGGGAAUAUUGGACAAUGGGCGAAAGCCUGAUCCAGCCAUGCCGCGUGUGUGAAGAAGGUCUUCGGAUUGUAAAGCACUUUAAGUUGGGAGGAAGGGCAGUAAGUUAAUACCUUGCUGUUUUGACGUUACCAACAGAAUAAGCACCGGCUAACUUCGUG